GCCGACCUGGGAUUGGCGAGCCGGAGACCCGUCCGGCCGAGGCCCCCGGGCGGGGCCUCCCGCGGCCCCGCCACCGGCUUCCCAGGGCGGGGCCCCCGCGAAGACCCCCGCGGAGCUCCGGCGGCGGCCCCGCCCCGGCUCUGACAGACGGCGGGGAGGCGCUUCCUGCUGGUGCUGCCCCCCCGCGCCAGCCCCGGCCCUCCGGACGCCCGGCUGCGGCGCGGGGGGGGGGGCGUCCUCUUGGCCCGCGCGUCCCAAGAAGCUCUAGCGAAGGUCGGCGCCGGCCCUUCUUAGGACGAGGUCUCCGACUGUAGGGCGGGAUGGUUUGCCAUCACCUUCCCCAGCCAUCGCCUUCCCCAGCAAGCCGGGUGCUCAUUUCACCAACCUCGGAAGGAUGGGAGGCUGAGUCAACCUGAGCCAGCCACUCGAGGCUCCAGCUUCCGCUGCCACAACUCCAGGUAAAGUUUUCUGUUUCUUUCCUCCUCUUAAUUUGUACAAUUUCCCAAAUUCUAUCCUGAAUACUCUGACUACCCUCCCUGAAUACUCUGACUCCAUUUUCUCCUACAAGGCACCCAUAGGCAAUCCCAACUUCUUGACAAGUUUCUCCAUCACUUCACAAUACACCAAAGCCAUUUCCCCUCCUCAGGGUUCGCCAGUGGGGCUGUCACCUGGGACGCAGGUGGUGACAAAGCACCCUUUUGCUGGGCAUCCCCAAAUUUCCACAAAGGCAUAAUUGAUCACUCAAAUAAUAAAUUCAAAGGGUCCAAACCGUGUAUUCCACUGCUGACACCAAUAAAAACGUUACACACACAACACAAGCUGCUCUCAAAGUUUGGCUUAUGGUCACUCACUCACACUCUUGCAGCCUGUGGAGGCAGGCGGAUCUCGUCAGCCCCCCUGGCUUUCUACCUGGGUUUUCCAGAGAGGUGCAGCUUGAGCAGACAAGGCACACAGCCCUGGUCAACAGCUGGGAAGAAAUUAGGGACACACACAAAGAACUUUCAACCAAACACUGAGGCACAACAGGUUCUUUGGAAUACACGGAGACCCAGUGAAUUUAAAGGAACAGCAAAACUUUACUGGUUGCAAGGUAUAUUUGCUCUUUCUCACACGCGCACACACACACUCAUCCACACUUACCCACGCCCUUCCAACUAGGCUGCCAGGCACUAGACAGAGGGACGGAAGCCGCCAAGUCUGGAUCCAAAGAUGACGCAAGGAGUGGACAGGCUCUGGACCCCUUUUAUCCCCAAAAGUCCUUGCUCUGUUGAUGGGAUUGGGGUGGGAGUUUCCAUUUGUUCAGGCCCUUUGAUGUCUUUGUACAGUUCAGGUGACAUUCUUUUUUUCCUUUACAACUUGCCUCCUCCUUGUCUAACCUUAAGGGAUCUUUUAGACAACUUUAGACAAGAAUCCUCCCUGCUUUACCUACCUGCUUUGUUAUGCAGUUUCAGCCUAGUCUUACACUCCGGGAUCUUAGCCCCAAUCCCUGCACCUCCAGAAGGCAAUCAUGGGAGGCAAACUGAAUCCCCCUUGCAGUGUGCAGGAGUCUUAGCUCCAGGGGGCUCAUUGGCCACCGUUUCCACUUGUGACUGCAAAUGUGCAGAGCACAGUGCCAGAUAGAGCCUCCUGUCUUGUCUUCAAACGCUCAUGAGGUUUGUGCAGGUACUUGAAUGCCGGUUGACAUUGGCAAGAAAUACUGUCCAGCAACUUGUUUUCAGCUUUGCCUCCCUUUAGAAACAUAAUUGAAAAGAUGGAAAGAGACAUUAGAGGAGUUGAUUAAAUGGCCCAACUCAAUUGGAUCUAAUCAGCAAGCAAGAGCAAGACGUACUCCUGAUCGGGGGCUGUCCAGCCCCUGCUGAAGGCAUCUAAGGACUGUUCUUGAGGUCGUUGGCUCCUCUUUCAACCUCACUUCCUGUUACAAAACUUUGCCUAACGUUCAAGUGAAAUCAGCUUUUCCAGGGACCAUCCACAUGUCCUGCUUGAACUGCACAAAGACACCCCACCAAUCAUUUGUGGAGGAGGUGUCCUCACAGCAUUGAUCCCAUCUCACUGCUGAUAAGCAAUGGAUCGUGCAUCUCUCUCUCAAGGUCGACUUCCUUACUCUCUACAAGGCUGGAAACUGGAUGAAAAUUGUCUAGUUCUGUUUGAUACAACGAGGGCUUCCUGAGGAGAUGAUGCACUACUGACUCCUUCAGAGCUGGCAGAACCAGUCCCCUGUCAAGGAUACAUUCACUGCCACAUGGACCCAACCCAGGAGGCCUUCGCCAACCGUGAGGGGCAUGGAUGUCAAGCACGGGUGGCGGCACUGACAGCCACAAGGACUCCAUCCACUUCCUCAGGACUAACAGACUCAAACUGUGCAACUGGUGCCCAACUCAGUUGUAUUUUUCUUCUGUGCUUUUGCUUAUUAUGCACCAUCCAGAGUCCUAAUGAAGUGGUAUACAAAUAUUGUAAAUAGAUAAAGUAAGUUUUAAAAAGAUUGUCCUUGGGUCAACGAA